UGGUGUAACGUCACGAAAAGAUUUGAGCUUUUAGGAGGAGUAGUUUCCAG
rnacentral:tRNA from 1 species